rnacentral:rRNA from 1 species
ACUCCUACGGGAGGCAGCAGUGGGGAAUAUUGCACAAUGGGGGAAACCCUGAUGCAGCCAUGCCGCGUGUGUGAAGAAGGCCUUCGGGUUGUAAAGCACUUUCAGUAGGGAGGAAGGUAGUGUAGUUAACACCUGCAUUAUUUGACGUUACCUACAGAAGAAGCACCGGCUAACUCCGUGCCAGCAGCCGCGGUAAUACGGAGGGUGCGAGCGUUAAUCGGAAUUACUGGGCGUAAAGCGCAUGCAGGCGGCCUGUUAAGUCAGAUGUGAAAGCCCGGGGCUUAACCUCGGAAUUGCAUUUGAAACUGGCAGGCUAGAGUCUUGUAGAGGGGUUAGAAUUUCAGGUGUAGCGGUGAAAUGCGUAGAGAUCUGAAGGAAUACCGAGUGGCGAAGGCGGCCCCUGGACAAAGACUGACGCUCAGAUGCGAAAGCGUGGGAGCAAACAGGAUUAGAUACCCCGUGGUAGAUGUCA